rnacentral:rRNA from 1 species
GUCUAUGGCCAUACCACCCUGAACAUGUCCAAUCUCAUCUGAUCCUGGAAGCUAAGCAGGGUUGGACUUUGUUAGUACUUGGAUGGGAAAAGUCUCAGUCCAAAGUAGGUGACUAGGGGAAGAAAUGCCAUGGGAG